CUUUCUAGGGAUUUAUCCAUACCUUUAUUGGGGAAUAAGCACUGUAAAGAUUAGCUGCCUUAAGUAAUCUUUUCUCAAAUUUGGAUACUAUUACUUUUGUUUAUGUCGGAAAUUGCAUUGAAAAAUCUUAUGAAAAUAUGCAUGCAUUUAAUGAUCUGCACACUUCUGUACAUGGUUGUGUAUCCAUCUGCCAUUUAUGCUUCCUAUUGGUGCUGGAUCGCAUAUUAAUUUCUCAAAUGGAAUUUUGCCUGUAUCUAGUCCUGUUACAUACUCCAGUUGAUAAAUUGUAGUUAAUUGUGAGCUUUUUCAAAUCCAUCGAUGCCAUAAAGUACAAAUUUGAUUGGCACAGGUAGUAUCACUGUCUGCUGCAUAAAGACACUAACCAUGCUAUAAAUAUUAUCUGGGUAUUCUGAAAGGUUAAAAUGUUUUGUCGAGUGAGGAACUUACAAGACGUCUUUCUGCAGGUACUUAAUUGACAAGUGGUGAAAUCUGAUUCUGCAACUAUUAAGGAUUAAAAGACGUAAAGUGGAGAGCUUGGAGGGCAUAAAAGAGCUUCAGGGAUCAGUGAUGAUCGAGACAAAUCAAGAAAAUAUUGGUAUUAUUGGUACAUCUAAGAAACUGGCAGAUGAGGAUUCAUGCCCUCCACAUCCUGGAUUUUAUAAAGGCUUGUGCUUGAGAUGUGGUCAGCUAGUGGAGGAUGAUGGGCCUAUGCUUUCACUUGACUACAUUACUAAGGUGCAAUGCUCAAAAUUAUACUACAGAGCUGUAAUAUAAUCAUGAUAUAGUAACUUUAUGUUUCUUAUAUAAUGCAAAUGGUAGUGAGGUGGACUGGGUUAGCAGCUUAAUGAUGCUUACCUAGGUGUAUAAGCGAUGUUUGUCCUCGAAAUGGUCUGGAAUGUGGAUAACUUAUUUUCAUUUUAGGCUCACAUCCUGCUUCCACAUAUUUAAUUCUAAAUAAAAUGGUCACAUCUUGCAUA